rnacentral:rRNA from 8 species
UUAAAUUGAAGAGUUUGAUCAUGGCUCAGAUUGAACGCUGGCGGCAGGCCUAACACAUGCAAGUCGAACGGUAACAGGAAGCAGCUUGCUGCUUUGCUGACGAGUGGCGGACGGGUGAGUAAUGUCUGGGAAACUGCCUGAUGGAGGGGGAUAACUACUGGAAACGGUGGCUAAUACCGCAUAACGUCGCAAGACCAAAGAGGGGGACCUUCGGGCCUCUUGCCAUCAGAUGUGCCCAGAUGGGAUUAGCUUGUUGGUGAGGUAACGGCUCACCAAGGCGACGAUCCCUAGCUGGUCUGAGAGGAUGACCAGCCACACUGGAACUGAGACACGGUCCAGACUCCUACGGGAGGCAGCAGUGGGGAAUAUUGCACAAUGGGCGCAAGCCUGAUGCAGCCAUGCCGCGUGUAUGAAGAAGGCCUUCGGGUUGUAAAGUACUUUCAGCGGGGAGGAAGGUGUUGUGGUUAAUAACCGCAGCAAUUGACGUUACCCGCAGAAGAAGCACCGGCUAACUCCGUGCCAGCAGCCGCGGUAAUACGGAGGGUGCAAGCGUUAAUCGGAAUUACUGGGCGUAAAGCGCACGCAGGCGGUCUGUCAAGUCGGAUGUGAAAUCCCCGGGCUCAACCUGGGAACUGCAUUCGAAACUGGCAGGCUUGAGUCUUGUAGAGGGGGGUAGAAUUCCAGGUGUAGCGGUGAAAUGCGUAGAGAUCUGGAGGAAUACCGGUGGCGAAGGCGGCCCCCUGGACAAAGACUGACGCUCAGGUGCGAAAGCGUGGGGAGCAAACAGGAUUAGAUACCCUGGUAGUCCACGCCGUAAACGAUGUCUACUUGGAGGUUGUGCCCUUGAGGCGUGGCUUCCGGAGCUAACGCGUUAAGUAGACCGCCUGGGGAGUACGGCCGCAAGGUUAAAACUCAAAUGAAUUGACGGGGGCCCGCACAAGCGGUGGAGCAUGUGGUUUAAUUCGAUGCAACGCGAAGAACCUUACCUGGUCUUGACAUCCACGGAAGAAUUCAGAGAUGGAUUUGUGCCUUCGGGAACCGUGAGACAGGUGCUGCAUGGCUGUCGUCAGCUCGUGUUGUGAAAUGUUGGGUUAAGUCCCGCAACGAGCGCAACCCUUAUCCUUUGUUGCCAGCGAUUCGGUCGGGAACUCAAAGGAGACUGCCAGUGAUAAACUGGAGGAAGGUGGGGAUGACGUCAAGUCAUCAUGGCCCUUACGACCAGGGCUACACACGUGCUACAAUGGCGCAUACAAAGAGAAGCGACCUCGCGAGAGCAAGCGGACCUCAUAAAGUGCGUCGUAGUCCGGAUUGGAGUCUGCAACUCGACUCCAUGAAGUCGGAAUCGCUAGUAAUCGUGGAUCAGAAUGCCACGGUGAAUACGUUCCCGGGCCUUGUACACACCGCCCGUCACACCAUGGGAGUGGGUUGCAAAAGAAGUAGGUAGCUUAACCUUCGGGAGGGCGCUUACCACUUUGUGAUUCAUGACUGGGGUGAAGUCGUAACAAGGUAACCGUAGGGGAACCUGCGGUUGGAUCACCUCCUUACCUGAAAGAAGC